GUUAGUCACGAGUCGUUGAUUCGUACACUUGUGCCUGUGCCUUAACUUGACACUUUGCAUUAUCAACGAUCUCGAUAAUUUCUCACCUGACUUUCGUACCGCGUUGGAAAAAUCGAACGAGUACGAUAUCCUGCGUUUAUUUCGGACCCUCUCUCGACCAACAAGAUAUUGGCACGGCGGCUGGUUUUUAGCACGACAUGGCACAACGCGUUCGAUGGUGUGAUGAUGCUAGGUCAUAACGCGCAACGAGGAAAUGGCAUAAAUUGGAUGAGGGUGAAGCACCGAGCGCUUCUCUCGCCUCUCUCUCCCUCUCUCUCUCGGUGGCUGGUAAAUAAUUGGAGUGCUUUCGAAACAACCCCUGAGGCAAUCCGUGCAUGCAAAAAUUGCGAUGUCGAAACGAUUGUUACUGACAUGCGCGGGUCCUGAACGAGCAUCGAUAGAAUUACAAGGAGCAUUAUAUACGGUGUAGAAAAAUGUAUACGAUCGAUUUUGUUUUCUUGGACCUUUUAAAAUUUUUUUUUUUUUUUUUAUCAAACGUAAAAUUUCAUAGCUAGAAAUUUGUAAUGAAAUAAUAGUAAUAGUAAUAAUGAAAAAAAAAAAAAAAGAAAAAAAUUAUAAUAAUAAUUCAUUUCGUUGCGAUUACAUUCAAUUACGCAUACGCAUACGCACAUGUGUACACACAUUUUUCUAGCCAAAGUGCCGAUUUUCACGCACAUAAUACAUGAACAUCGCGACUAUUACGACGAUCAGCUUAAUCGUAGCUGCAUUAACUUUUUGGUACGUAAAAUUUCAAAUCGACACUACAAUAACGCCUCCUAUUUUGUACAAGAUUAUUUCAGGGUCGAAACGAUGAGUCGUUAUUGUAUCGGGUAUCUCAUUUUUAAGGCAUUGUUAUGGCCGUGUACCUAUAAUAUACAUAUAUAGGCAUAUACGCAUACAUAUUACACAAUAAAUUAGUCGCGUUUCUGUCUGUAUUUUUUUUUUUUUUCUUUUUUUUUUUUGUUUU
rnacentral:misc_RNA from 1 species